GAUUAUUUAUUAAAUCUCAUUACUCAUUAUUGAUCUGUUCAGAUUUUCUAUUUCUUCAUGAUUCAGUCUUAAUAGGUCGUAUGUUUCUAGGAAUCUAACCACUUCUUCUAGGUUAUCCAAUUUGUUAGUGUAUAACUGUUUUAAGUGGU